GACGAACGCUGGCGGCGUGCUUAACACAUGCAAGUCGAACGGUAAGGCCCUUCGGGGUACACGAGUGGCGAACGGGUGAGUAACACGUGGGUGAUCUGCCCUGCACUUCGGGAUAAGCCUGGGAAACUGGGUCUAAUACCGGAUAGGACCACUGCCUGCAUGGGUGGUGGAAGGCUUUUGCGGUGUGGGAUGGGCCCGCGGCCUAUCAGCUUGUUGGUGGGGUGAUGGCCUACCAAGGCGACGACGGGUAGCCGGCCUGAGAGGGUGACCGGCCACACUGGGACUGAGAUAGGGCCCAGACUCCUACGGGAGGCAGCAGUGGGGAAUAUUGCACUAUGGGCGCAAGCCUGAUGCGGCGACGCCGCGUGAGGGAUGACGGCCUUCGGGUUGUAAACCUCUUUCAGCACCGACGAAGCGCAAGUGACGGUAGGUGCAGAAGAAGGACCGGCCAACUACGUGCCAGCCGCCGCGGUAA
rnacentral:rRNA from 1 species